GAAUGCAUCCACAGAACACUGUAUAAAACUUAAACCGCUGCUGUAUCUCCCACUCAAACACCCUCACUCCCCCUCCUGUCUCCCCCACUGGAAACCUGCCAGCUACUGUAUUCCUCACUGUGUAUGACACACAGCAGAGGUCUGGUCUUUAUACUUUAAAUUGCCCACGCUGUCAAACCCGACACAUUUCAACCUGGAGAUGUAAAGAAAUCCAAUCGCCUUCCACCCCACCCUGACCCAUAAUGCACCCCGGUUUUGUCUUCACGUCUGUAUCAGCAGCCGACGGCUCUGACUGACGGCUGGCCUUGGCUCCACGUAGUAAGAGAUAAGCAGGCCCAGAUGGGACAGGUCGGAUAUGUCUGCCCACAUGAUUUAGCCCUGAGUCAGGGACAGUGGAAGGGGAAGCUGCCCCCCCCAUACACCCCCCCGCCCCCUCACCCUCACCCAUGUCAAAUACAAACCACAUGGGAGAGGUGUAGAUCACCGUUUGAUCUGCCCUAUGGGGGGAGUCAGGAGAUCCAGAUGGGGCUGGGUGGCGUGUUUCUGUCCUCCAGCCUCGGUGCGACCCAGCUACCAGUUCACUCUGCAGUGGAUCAAAUAUACGGCUGCUUUUCCUGCUUUUCCUCUGACCCUCCUGACUGAAACAUGAUGACUGAAGAUGAGUGAUGACCCGGUAACGGUGGCAGAUAGUAUCACGCAAGAAUAAGUGCUUCAGUCUGACCUGGCUGAAUGAAAGCCUGUGAGUUCCUUACAGGUACGAGGAGGACCAAGUACAGCUUCUUACCAAAGCUGCUUCUGCCUUCUUGGAUAAAUUUAUAGCUCUGAGUUGUAACUUUUAUUCUAUUUGUUUUACUGCGUUUUCACUUUCUAAUUUCUUAACUCCUUAAUAACUAGAUGUAACUGUACUUGAAUGUCUGUUUGUGUGUGUGUUUUACACUUUGUCUUAAUGCUUUUCAAUUGUGCUGCACAAAUAAACUUGCCUUGAGGCCAUUUGACUCUC